AGGCGGGUAGGAGGGAACCAGCCGCUGCCUCUCAGAGUCUUGGCCUCGUUGGGGAGAGUUGAGAGGGGGAGCAAACUGGGUGGAAGAUUUGGGGAUCUUGCCUAGAAGCGCAAAAGAGGGCAGCUGGCCUAUUUUGCUUUUUCUGCUUGUCUGAUCCAGGAUGACUUGGGACCGCACGUUUAAGGGGUAUCACCCAUGGGUUGAUUUCUGCACAGAAGGAGAGGUAGGGAGGGAAAAAAGAAGACACUUUGAUGGAAUCCUUUCCUGUUCUUCCGGAUGAAGAGGCAGGACUUUCACGGGAGUCACUUCGCACUGAUGCCUGCGUUUGUUGGACCGCCUGUCUCCCAAGCAGCUAGCUUCACCUCGCUGCGUGCGGACACGGGGGAGGGGGAGGAGAAGUCUUCGGACAGAGGUGGGGAUCCUACAGGCUGUCCUCAGGACAAGGCUUUGCCUGUCGGAGCCCAAGGCUACAGAUCUCUUUGAAAAUAAAGUAAUAUCAAACAAAA